rnacentral:tRNA from 1 species
CAAGAUGUAGCUUAACAAAACAAAGCAUCCGGCCUACACCCGGAAGAUUUCUCUGCCAAUGAACAUCUUGA